rnacentral:rRNA from 1 species
CCCUUAGAUGUUCUGGGCUGCACGCGCGCUACACUGAUGCGUUCAACGAGUGUAUAACCUUGCCCGAUAGGGUUGGGUAAUCUUUUGAACACGCAUCGUGAUGGGGAUAGAUUAUUGCAAUUAUUAAUCUUCAACGAGGAAUUCCUAGUAAUGAUGGAUCAUCAGUUCAUCGUGAUUACGUCCCUGCCCUUUGUACACACCGCCCGUCGCUCCUACCGAUUGAGCAAUCCGGUGAAUAUUUCGGACGGAGAUUCUUCGGGGCAACUCGUUAGAAUUUCUGAAAGUCAAGUUAACCUUAUUGCUUAGAGGAAGGAGAAGUCGUAACA